GACGAACGCUGGCGGCGUGCUUAACACAUGCAAGUCGAACGGAAAGGCCCCUUUGGGGGUACUUGAGUGGCGAACGGGUGAGUAACACGUGAGUAACCUGCCCUUGACUUCGGGAUAACUUCAGGAAACUGGGGCUAAUACCGGAUAGGAAUCCUUGCUGCAUGGUGGGGUUGGAAAGCUUCGGCGGUUUUGGAUGGACCCACGGCUUAUCAGCUUGUUGGUGGGGUAGUGGCUUACCAAGGCUUUGACGGGUAGCCGGCCUGAGAGGGCGACCGGCCACAUUGGGACUGAGAUACGGCCCAGACUCCUACGGGAGGCAGCAGUGGGGAAUAUUGCACAAUGGGCGGAAGCCUGAUGCAGCAACGCCGCGUGCGGGAUGACGGCCUUCGGGUUGUAAACCGCUUUCAGCAGGGGCGAAGCUUGUGGUGACGGUACCUGCAGAAGAAGCACCGGCUAACUACGUG
rnacentral:rRNA from 1 species